CCUACGGGUGGCAGCAGUGAGGAAUAUUGGUCAAUGGUCGGGAGCCUGAACCAGCCAAGCCGCGUGAGGGAUGAAGGUACAGCGUAUCGUAAACCUCUUUUGUCAGGGAACAAAGGCGGGGACGUGUCCCCGGAUGAGUGUACCUGUAGAAAACGCAUCGGCUAACUCCGUGCCAGCAGCCGCGGUAAUCCGGAGGAUGCGAGCGUUAUCCGGAUUUAUUGGGGUGAAAGGGUGCGCAGGCGGACUGUUAAGUCAGCGGUCAAAGCCCGGGGCUCACCCCCGGCCCGCCGUCGAAACUGGCAGGCUCGAGUUGGAGAGAAGUAUGCGGAAUGCGCGGUGUAGUGGUGAAAUGCAUAGAUAUCGCGCAGAACUCCGAUUGCGAAGGCAGCUUACCGGCUCCAAACUGACGCUGAGGCACGAAAGCGUGGGUAUCGAACAGGAUUAGAUACCCCAGUAGUC
rnacentral:rRNA from 1 species